rnacentral:SRP_RNA from 1 species
GACACAGGCAACACGCGCGCCCGAGACUGCGUUUGUCAGCGGGGCUACACCGGGCCGGCAGAGGGCCCGUGUACGGCGUGUCCGGCGGGGACGUACAAGGCGGCCAUUGGCGGCGGAGAGUGCCUGACAUGUCCCGAGGGCACUUCGUCACUGGCAGCGAGCACGGCCCGGGCGGACUGCGGAUGCCCCGCGGGUUACGAGGGGGAGAGCGCCGCGGAGUGCACG